rnacentral:rRNA from 1 species
AUUGAACGCUGGCGGCAUGCUUUACACAUGCAAGUCGAACGGUAACAGGCCGCAAGGUGCUGACGAGUGGCGAACGGGUGAGUAAUGCAUCGGAACGUGCCCAGUCGUGGGGGAUAACGCAGCGAAAGCUGCGCUAAUACCGCAUCCGAUCUAUGGAUGAAAGCGGGGGACCGAAAGGCCUCGCGCGAUUGGAGCGGCGGGGGGCAGAUUAGGUAGUUGGUGGGGUAAAGGCUCACCAAGGCAACGAUCGGUAGCUGGUCUGAGAGGACGACCAGCCACACUGGGACUGAGACACGGCCCAGACUCCUACGGGAGGCAGCAGUGGGGAAUUUUGGACAAUGGGCGCAAGCCUGAUCCAGCAAUGCCGCGUGCAGGAAGAAGGCCUUCGGGUUGUAAACUGCUUUUGUACGGAACGAAACGGUCCUGGUUAAUACCCGGGGCUAAUGACGGUACCGUAAGAAUAAGCACCGGCUAACUACGUGCCAGCCGCCGCCGUAAGAC